GAUGAACGCUGGCGGCGUGCCUAAUACAUGCAAGUCGAGCGAACAGACGAGGAGCUUGCUCCUCUGACGUUAGCGGCGGACGGGUGAGUAACACGUGGAUAACCUACCUAUAAGACUGGGAUAACUUCGGGAAACCGGAGCUAAUACCGGAUAAUAUAUUGAACCGCAUGGUUCAAUAGUGAAAGACGGUUUUGCUGUCACUUAUCGAUGGAUCCGCGCCGCAUUAGCUAGUUGGUAAGGUAACGGCUUACCAAGGCAACGAUGCGUAGCCGACCUGAGAGGGUGAUCGGCCACACUGGAACUGAGACACGGUCCAGACUCCUACGGGAGGCAGCAGUAGGGAAUCUGCCGCAAUGGGCGAAAGCCUGACGGAGCAACGCCGCGUGAGUGAUGAAGGUCUUCGGAUCGUAAAACUCUGUUAUUAGGGAAGAACAAAUGUGUAAGUAACUAUGCACGUCUUGACGGUACCUAAUCAGAAAGCCACGGCUAACUACGUG
rnacentral:rRNA from 1 species